ensembl:lncRNA
UGUGGCAUAUGGAGGUCCUCAGGCUAGGGGUCGAAUCAGAGCUACAGCUGCUGGCCUGCACCACAGCCACAGCAACGUCAGAUCUGAGCCACAUCUGCAAUCUACACCACAGUUCAUGGCAUCUUCGGAUCCUUAACCCACUGAGAGAGGCCAGGGAUCGAACCCACAACCUCAUGGUUACUAGUUACUAGUUGGAUUUGCUUCCACUGCACCACAACAGGAACCCCCAUUGAUUCUUAUUAAUGUUCCCACUCUGAUACUGAAUAAUAAUGAUGAUAAUGACAACAGCUACCUCUUACAUGCUCACUGCAUGACAGGGUCUAGGCUAACUUAUUAUUACAUAAAUUCUUCAUGAUUGGAACAAAUCUGUGUGUUAAAUAUUAUUAUUACUAGUCUAUAGAUGAAGAAACUGAGGCCCAGAAACAUUAGAUAAACUGUAUGAAGUUGCACAGCUAAGUAACAGGGUAAAGGGAAUGCAACCCUGCUUCACUUCUUCCACUUUCUAGCUAUCAAAAUCUGAAAUUCUUCCUUUUUUCCCUAUAAUGCACUAUCCUUCCACCAUUCAAGAGUGUCUGUUCAGGAACACUUCAAGAUGAAACCUGCAAUUUAAUCCACGAAUAUUUACUGAGUGCCCAUCUUCAUACUUCCUUCAAAUCAUACACAGAUUUACUGAGGGCCUGCUGUGUGUUAGGUUCUGUUCUAGGUGCUGAGGAUACACUAGUGAACAACACACACAAAAAUCCCUGCCCUGUGGAGCAUAACAUUCUACAGGGGCAGAAAGACAGUAAACAUAAGAAAUAAGAAAUAGGGUGAUGGGAGUUCCCGUCGUGGCUCAGUGGUUAACGAAUCCAACUAGGAACCAUGAGGUUGCGGGUUCAAUCCCUGGCUUUGCUCAGUGGGUUAAGGAUCCGGUGUUGCCAUGAGCUGUGGUACUAGUUGGGUUCAUUACUGCUGAGCCACAAUGGGAACUCUGAGGAUUGCAAUUUUAAGUGUUACAAAAAGAUAGUAUUGAGCAAAGACUUUCUAAGGAUGUGAUGGUCAGUUUUAUAUGUCAACUUGGCUGGGCUACAGACCUAGGUAUUUAAUCAAAUGCUAAUCUAGGUGUUACUGUGAAGCUAUUCUGAAGCUGUGGUUAACAUCUAUAAGCUGUACAGGAGACCACCUUCCAUAGUGUGGGUGGGUCUCAUCCAAUCACUUGAGAGGCCUUAAAAGCAAAGCUCAGGUUUCCCCGUGAUAGAAGUUCUGUCCCCAAACUGCAACAUCAGCUUCUACUUGAGUUUCCAAUCUGCCCUACAGACUUUAGGCUUGCCAGUGCCCAAAAUUACAGAAGCCAAUUCCUCAAAACAAAUCUUCGUAUAUCUUAUAUAUAUGUGUGUGCCCCACUAUAUUUACAUAUAGGUAUGUGUAUACUGUACACAUAGUAGUAGGUAUGCAUAUAUGUAUAGUCUGUAUACAUGUUGUAUACUUACUAAUAUAUGCAUAUUAUGGUGUAUAUAUGUAUACAAUACACUUGUAUAUAUAUACAAUACACUUGUAUACAUAUGUAUACAAUAUACAUGUGUAUAAACACACACCUCUGACAGGCUAUGCUUCUCUGGAGAACUCUGAUACAUGGGGUAGGAGUGUUCCAGGCAGAAGGGACAUAAAAGCAAAGGUACCAUGUGCUGGACACCAUGACAGGCAUCACGCAGACAACUGUGAACAACACAGAUGUGGCUCUUACCUUCCUCAAUCUUAGCGACAAGAUAGAGAUACUGCAAACUGACCCGUAUGUCUCCUCCAGAUUUUCAGACUCUUCCCAGAUUCACUGGCCUUACUCUUCAGCCUUGACCCCAUGGUCACUAAUUUCAACUUUUCUUUUAACUGACAUUCCUAGUUCCCCUGGCCUUUCAUUACAUUUGCCAAAUUACCACCAUUACUAAUAUACUUUGGAGUGUUAUGGAGUUUAAGAACUAUAUUCACAACAAUGAAUAUAGUUUAAAAUAAUAAUUUUAAUUGUCUUCACAAAAACUGUCAUGUGGGGAGGAAAGGUUAUUUCACAGAUGAGAAAACAGGGAUUCAGAGGUAAACUAACCUGUAUGAAAUUACAGAGUUAAUAAAUAGCAAAGCUGGGUCUCAACCAACCAUCCAUCUUUCUUCUCAACAAGAACACAUUUCUUGAACAAGCGACUUGUGGUCAACUGUAAUUGUUCACCUCCCACCUUCAUUCACUCCUCAACUUGCCAUUUCCCUCUGACAGUCCCUCACUCCUGUACUGGUAAGUUUCUACUUUCACUGGGGGAGGGGGGGGAGGGACUGCGGUUUCCCAUGUAUUACAUUUAUUUAAGUGUGUCAUACUACAUUUAUAAUUACAUAUAUUAAGGGUGUCAGUCAAGCAGUGCGUUUUAUUUGCCCUUAAAUACAGGUAUUCGUCCAAGGUUGUCUUCAGCGCACAUUAACAAUUAUGAGCUGAAAGAUCAUAAAAAUAGAGAUCCCAGGCCCAAUUGAAACCAAGUGCAAAACUCUAACUAGCUUGCAAGAAGCGCGCCCGGAUUUCCAGGUUAAAACAUCUGCCUUGCAGACUCCUAAAACAAUAUUCCAACUCCCCGAGAAAUGCCCGCGAAGAUAUAAAGAGAAAAAAAAAAAAAAUCCGCUACUCCAACAAAAUCCAGAACUGUCAGCCUCUUUUACGCGCAGGGAGGGAUGGGGGACAACUCCCAAGACGAGCUUACUGCAACCAGACAAGCGCAAGCCGCGACCACCUGUGUAAGGC